AGGCAUAGGCAACCUCAGUCCUCCAGAUGUUUUGGGACUACAACUCCCAUGAUCCCUAGCUAACAGGACCAGCUGUCAGGGAGGAUGGGAAUUGUAGUCUCCAAACAUCUGGAGGGCCGAGGUUGCCUAUGCCU